rnacentral:rRNA from 1 species
UGGGGAAUAUUGCACAAUGGGCGCAAGCCUGAUGCAGCCAUGCCGCGUGUGUGAAGAAGGCCUUCGGGUUGUAAAGCACUUUCAGCGAGGAGGAAGGUGGUGAGCUUAAUACGCUCAUCAAUUGACGUUACUCGCAGAAGAAGCACCGGCUAACUCCGUGCCAGCAGCCGCGGUAAUACGGAGGGUGCAAGCGUUAAUCGGAAUUACUGGGCGUAAAGCGCACGCAGGCGGUUUGUUAAGUCAGAUGUGAAAUCCCCGGGCUCAACCUGGGAACUGCAUUUGAAACUGGCAAGCUAGAGUCUCGUAGAGGGGGGUAGAAUUCCAGGUGUAGCGGUGAAAUGCGUAGAGAUCUGGAGGAAUACCGGUGGCGAAGGCGGCCCCCCUGGACGAAGACUGACGCUCAGGUGCGAAAGCGUGGGGCAGCAAACAGGAUUAGAUACCCUGGUAGUCCACGCUGUAAACGAUGUCGAUUUGGAGGUUGUGCCCUUGAGGCGUGGCUUCCGGAGCUAACGCGUUAAAUCGACCGCCUGGGGAGUACGGCCGCAAGGUUAAAACUC